rnacentral:rRNA from 1 species
UACGUAGGGUCCGAGCGUUGUCCGGAAUUACUGGGCGUAAAGAGCUCGUAGGUGGUUUGUCGCGUUGUUCGUGAAAACUCACAGCUUAACUGUGGGCGUGCGGGCGAUACGGGCAGACUUGAGUACUGCAGGGGAGACUGGAAUUCCUGGUGUAGCGGUGGAAUGCGCAGAGAUCAGGAGGAACACCGAUGGCGAAAGCAGGUAACUGGACCAUUACUGACACUCAGCUGCGAAAGCUAGGGGAGCAAACAGG